GUGGGGAAUAUUGCGCAAUGGGCGAAAGCCUGACGCAGCGACGCCGCGUGAGGGAUGAAGGUUUUCGGAUCGUAAACCUCUGUCAGAAGGGAAGAAACUACAUUGUGCUAAUCAGCAGUGUACUGACGGUACCUUCAAAGGAAGCACCGGCUAACUCCGUGCCAGCAGCCGCGGUAAUACGGAGGGUGCAAGCGUUAAUCGGAAUUACUGGGCGUAAAGCGCACGUAGGCUGUAGUGUAAGUCAGGGGUGAAAUCCCACGGCUCAACCGUGGAACUGCCUUUGAUACUGCACAACUUGAAUCCGGGAGAGGGUGGCGGAAUUCCAGGUGUAGGAGUGAAAUCCGUAGAGAUCGGGAGGAACAUCCGUGGCGAAGGCGGCCAUCUGGACCAGCACUGACACUGAGGCACGAAAGCGUGGGGAGCAAACAGGAUUAGAAACCCUGGUAGUCC
rnacentral:rRNA from 1 species